AGUUUGCUCGAGCAGGAGGAGGGAGCGGGCCGUUCGCAGCCCACCUAAACUCGUACGUGGGAGCCCAUGGAUCAGUAUCUUAGUUUUGUACUGAUAUGCGAAUGGGCGGGCCCAUAGUACGCUCGGCCUUCCACACCCAGGCCCGAGCCUUCAACCAGCUGCCGACCCGCCGGAGCAGAUAGGGUCGUCUCCGGCGCCGACGUCCCCCCCUGCCCCCCCUCCCACACACCGGCAUCAGCCCGACCUGCUCUCUCUCCCUCCGUGAUGCUCCACCGUGUAAGCUCGGCCUGCCUGCCUCCAGGAGCUCGCGUCGAUGCCCGCCGCCACGAGCCCGGCUCCAGGGGCUCCAAGAGAGAUCACGGCAGGGUUCCCUCCCCGCCGACGGAGCUCCUUCUUUCACCGGAGCUCCCUUACCCGCCGGAUCCGACCCCCUCCAGACCAACUCCGGCCUCGACCGGCUCUGCUCCGGGCAGCGACGUCGUGCAAGCAGCGCAGAUGGCGAUGGGGUGGCGUUCCGUGCAGCACCUUCACCGUGCGAAUCGGCGUGACACUUGACAUCUUUGCAAUUAGCUGCUUGUGCCGCACAUUUGAGCUGACCAUCUAGACGAUGACUUCCGAGGAUGUUACUUCCAUUUUGCGGUUUGCUUCAGGGAUGUAUGGUCAGGGAAACAAGCAUAUAUGCUUGGCACACUGAUGUCUGAAGAAAUUAACAUGGGAUGUUCAGAUAUAUUGUUGAGGAAUUAGGUAGUGUGCUACCAAGGAACUGUAUGUGUCGUGUAUGAUUAGCAAUUGUGCAAUAAUAUAGAUACAGAGAAGAACCAGCAAUUAAAGAUUGAUUUCCAUCAAAGGCUCGUGUGCAUUUCAGAUUUGCAGGUUGUAGUAUUCAACAGUAGUAAUGCACUUGCAGAUGUGCUUCAUGGAUGUAUGGGUAGGGAGACAAUGAUGCAUAUAUGCCUGACACACUAAUGCCUGAAGAAAUUAGUGCAAUGCUCAGACAUAUUUGUUGAAGAAUUAGGUUGUGUGCUACCGGGUAAUUCUGUAAUUGUAUGUUCCUUGUAUGAUUAUUAGGCGUUGUGCAACUUAA